CGACACAUGAUCAUCCUCCUGGAAAGGAGGAAGAAGAGUUGGAAAGGGGAACAACUCCUCCAGAAAAGUGACAUCUUCUUUUAAUCGAUCACGUUCAGAUUCACCAAACUGAAAACCGAAGGUAUAGUUUGUACUUUUGGUUGCCACAAAUGAUCCAGCACUUCCAUUGAAUAUUGCCUGCCUUAAUCCUUCAUCAUUAAGAGG
rnacentral:misc_RNA from 1 species